rnacentral:rRNA from 1 species
GGGGGACAACACUCCGAAAGGGGGUGCCUAAUACCGGAUACGAAGUCUGUGCCGCAUGGUACGGAUUUGAAAGAUGGCCUCUAUUUAUAAGCUAUCGCCGGGGGAUGGGCCUGCGUCCGAUUAGCUGGUUGGUGGGGUAACGGCCUACCAAGGCGACGAUCGGUAGCCGGUCUGAGAGGAUGAACGGCCACAUUGGGACUGAGACACGGCCCAGACUCCUACGGGAGGCAGCAGUGGGGAAUCUUCCGCAAUGGGCGCAAGCCUGACGGAGCAACGCCGCGUGAGUGAGGAAGUUCUUCGGAACGUAAAGCUCUGUUGUUCCUGACGAACCUCCCUUCUAUCAACAACGGAGGGGACUGACGGUAGGGAACGAGGAAGCCACGGCUAACUACGUGCCAGCCGCCGC